rnacentral:rRNA from 1 species
UACGUAGGUGGCAAGCGUUGUCCGGAUUUAUUGGGUUUAAAGGGCGCGUAGGCGGUGUCCUAAGUCAGUUGUGAAAUACGGCAGCUUAACUGUCGAGGUGCAAUUGAUACUGGGACACUUGAGUACUGAUGAGGUAGGCGGAAUGGACGGUGUAGCGGUGAAAUGCUUAGAUAUCGUCCAGAACACCGAUAGCGAAGGCAGCUUACUAAGGAGUAACUGACGCUGAGGCACGAAAGUGUGGGGAUCAAACAGG